rnacentral:lncRNA from 1 species
GAUGAGCUGGCUUUUUCCCCUGACCAAGAGCGCCUCCUCCUCCGCGGCUGGGUCCCCCGGUGGCCUCACCAGCCUCCAGCAGCAGAAGCAGCGCCUGAUCGAGUCCCUCCGGAACUCACACUCCAGUCUAUUUCCAGUAUCCCUUGCUGCCCAGGCUUCGCCACUGAUCUUUCCCUUUGCCCACCUGAUUGCCGCGUCAGCAGAAUUGUUAAAAUACAAUUGUGAAGAGUAAUCUCCAGGUUUCACAAAGAAUGGAAAAUAGAACUGUUGCAACAUCAAAGGAAAGGGAAGCCAGAGUUUUCAUCAGUGAAUGCUUCUCGUCUGAGAGUCACUUAUCACGUAGUCAGUCUUCUUGAGUCUCUAAGAUUUACCCUGUUGGAGCAGUCUCUCCCCAUCUCACAGCGACCAGUGCAUGUACAUUUCUCACUUCUUUCAUAGUCUUGUCCCCACGCUCAAGAAUUACUUUAUGUUCAUCUUGA